rnacentral:rRNA from 1 species
GCAAGUCGAGGGGUAACAUUGUAGCUUGCUACAGAUGACGACCGGCGCACGGGUGCGUAACGCGUAUGAAACCUGCCUUUUACAGAGGGAUAGCCCAGAGAAAUUUGGAUUAAUACCUCAUAGUCUUCGCUUAACGCAUGUUAAAUGAAGUAAAGUUUCGGCGGUAAAAGAUGGUCAUGCGUGACAUUAGCUAGUUGGUGAGGUAACGGCUCACCAAGGCGACGAUGUCUAGGGGUUCUGAGAGGAAGGUC